rnacentral:rRNA from 1 species
UACAGAGGUCUCGAGCGUUGUUCGGAUUCAUUGGGCGUAAAGGGCGCGUAGGCGGCGGGGUAAGUCUGGUGUGAAAUCUAGGAGCUCAACUCCUAAACUGCACUGGAUACUGCUCUGCUAGAGGACUGGAGAGGAGACUGGAAUUCACGGUGUAGCAGUGAAAUGCGUAGAUAUCUGGAGGAACACCGGUGGCGAAGGCGGCAUCCUGGACCAAUUCUGACGCUGAGUGAGCGAAAGCCAGGGGAGCAAACGGG